rnacentral:rRNA from 1 species
UUCGGUGGGGAUUAGUGGCGAACGGGUGAGUAACACGUGGGCAAUCUGCCCUUCACUCUGGGACAAGCCCUGGAAACGGGGUCUAAUACCGGAUAACACUCCUGCCUGCAUGGGCGGGGGUUAAAAGCUCCGGCGGUGAAGGAUGAGCCCGCGGCCUAUCAGCUUGUUGGUGAGGUAACGGCUCACCAAGGCGACGACGGGUAGCCGGCCUGAGAGGGCGACCGGCCACACUGGGACUGAGACACGGCCCAGACUCCUACGGGAGGCAGCAGUGGGGAAUAUUGCACAAUGGGCGAAAGCCUGAUGCASCGACGCCGCGUGAGGGAUGACKGCCUUCGGGUUGUAAACCUCUUUCAGCAGGGAAGAAGCGAAAGUGACGGUACCUGCAGAAGAAGCGCCGGCUAACUACGUGCCAGCAGCCGCGGUAAUACGUAGGGCGCAAGCGUUGUCCGGAAUUAUUGGGCGUAAAGAGCUCGUAGGCGGCUUGUCACGUCRAGUUGUGAAAGCCCGGGGCUUAACCCCGGGUCUGCAGUCGAUACGGGCAGGCUAGAGUUCGGUAGGGGAGAUCGGAAUUCCUGGUGUAGCGGUGAAAUGCGCAGAUAUCAGAGGAACACCGGUGGCGAAAGCGGAUCUCU